rnacentral:misc_RNA from 1 species
GAUGAGAACGUAGCGAAAUGCGAUACGUAAUGUGAAUUGCAAAUUCAGUGAAUCAUCGAGUCUUUGAACGCACAUUGCGCCCCCUGGUAUUCCGGGGGGCAUGCCUGUCCGAGCGUCAUUGCUGCCCUCAAGCACGGCUUGUGUGUUGGGCCCCGUCCUCCGAUCCCGGGGGACGGGCCCGAAAGGCAGCGGCGGCACCGCGUCCGGUCCUCGAGCGUAUGGGGCUUUGUCACCCGCUCUGUAGGCCCGGCCGGCGCUUGCCGAUCAACCCAAAUUUUUUAUCCAGGUUGACCUCGGAUCAGGUAGGGAUACCCGCUGAACUUAAGCAUAUCAAUAAGCGGAGGA